AGUGAAUAGAUACCCUGGUAGUCCAUGCCGUAAACGUUGGGAACUAGGUGUGGGUCUCAUUCCACGAGAUCCGUGCCGCAGCUAACGCAUUAAGUUCCCCGCCUGGGGAGUACGGCCGCAAGGCUAAAACUCAAAGGAAUUGACGGGGGCCCGCACAAGCGGCGGAGCAUGCGGAUUAAUUCGAUGCAACGCGAAGAACCUUACCAAGGCUUGACAUGUACCGGAAACGUGCAGAGAUGUGCGCCCCGCAAGGUCGGUACACAGGUGGUGCAUGGUUGUCGUCAGCUCGUGUCGUGAGAUGUUGGGUUAAGUCCCGCAACGAGCGCAACCCUCGUUCUAUGUUGCCAGCACGUGAUGGUGGGGACUCAUAGGAGACUGCCGGGGUCAACUCGGAGGAAGGUGGGGAUGACGUCAAAUCAUCAUGCCCCUUAUGUCUUGGGCUUCACGCAUGCUACAAUGGCCAGUACAAAGGGCUGCGAAACCGCGAGGUGGAGCGAAUCCCAAAAAACUGGUCUCAGUUCGGAUUGGGGU
rnacentral:rRNA from 1 species